CACGUAGGGGGCGAGCGUUAUCCGGAUUCAUUGGGUUAAAGGGAGCGCAGGCCGAUGGUUAAGCGUGACGUGAAAUGUAGCCGCUCAACGGCUGAACUGCGUCGCGAACUGGCUGUCUUGAGUGAGUUCGAUGUGGGCGGAAUUCGUGGUGUAGCGGUGAAAUGCUUAGAUAUCACGAAGAACUCCGAUUGCGAAGGCAGCCCACAAGGCCUUUACUGACGCUAAAGCUCGAAGGUGCGGGUAUCGAACA
rnacentral:rRNA from 1 species